ensembl:lncRNA
CGGCCUUAUUCGGUAACACCCGGCAUUUGGUAAGAAGGCAGAUCCUUGAUUCCAACCCCAACUCUGAGGAAGCAGAUUCUCUGCUUUUCGGGAACUACAGAUUCCAUCUCAGAGGUGGCAGUCAGACAGUUCAGGUUAUCUGGGGAAAUCAUACUGGGAGCUCAGUGACCUUGUCUUGCAAACAUACCACCAAGUAACAGGCUAUUUCAUAUUUCCUCGUGGCAGUGAUUCUUCUUCACCCCUUUGAAUUCAGAAGGAUGGCAUAGAUGUCUUCAAAAUAGUAAGUAAUGUGUAUUUUUUUUCAAUUACUGUUAAUAGUUAAACAUAGUAAAGCUGAAAUUCAGUUUUUGGAGGAGUUUGGAAUCAGCAUGCAUGCUUAGAAGGAAAAUACGUUUUGUGCAGCAUUUGCAUUAUUUGAUGUGAAUGACUUUUGGUUUGAUUUAACUAUCGCAAUAUUGUGCUGAUGAGUGUCUUUUUCACUACUACUUUACUCUGUGUAUUCUGUAAUAGCUAAGUUUUGUGUGGCAUGUAAUGUACGCAUUCUUAGCACAACAAUUCAAGAAACAAUGCACAAAAUUGCAGGGAACUAUCUUGGAGAUGAAAGAUAGAAAACUAUCUUUUCUCCAUGUACCACACAGUCUUCCUCACACAUUUAUAGUUCUGACUCCUAUCCAUCAUGCCCUUUCUACUGUGCUUGAAAUAAAAUUCUUGUGUAAGCUACAUGAGCUUACUUCUUUAAAGUAAAUAUCCAGAGACAGACGCAAGAGUUGUUAUGAUAUUAUAAACUAAUCAAACAUUUUUAAGGCUAUUUAAGUUACAUUUCCUGUAAUUUAAUAAAGCAUUAUAAUUGAAAUGAGCUUUGUUGAGAGAGAUUAUCCCUUUUUAAGAAAAGUGAAAAGUCUAUUUUCAGCUUCCUAAAAAUGGCAUGUGUUGUCUAAGGACAUGUUACUUUUAAUGAGAGCACAUGUCACAAGUAUUUUUUUUAAACAUACAUGCAGCAUUGGCAUUUUUACAUAACUAUGGUGCAUAUUUAAAAUAUGUAAAUACUUUAAAUUGGAACAAAGGAAUAUGGGGCAGCAUCAGUUCUAAUGUCUCCUAGAUGAACAGUAUCUGCAUUAGUGUGGGCACUGCCAACUCGAGUGUGACCUGAGAAUUCCACAUAGGCAACCCUGAGACCUUUCUCUGGACCCAGAAAACAAGUUUAAAUGAAACCGAGACCUAUGUUGUUUAACCCUUAAGGUAACCAGUUUCUUAGAGAUGAUGAAAUGGGAAGUAGGAUCCAGAAGGUUUCACAGAGGUCUCUAUGAGGGCCAAAUACUUUCCCCUUCUAACUAUUCCUCAUAGCAAAUCUAAAUUCCUGGAAGUUUGUAUUUAAGAUGAAAUCUGUUUUCUAUGCUUUUGCUGCUUUGGGUCUCUUUUCCAACUUUAUCUUUGCCUGUGGUUUUGAGCCAUUUGCUGCCUCCUAAUGCCUAGCUGUAAAAUAGCACACAUGGCAGACUGCCAAGAAGGUGGCAGUGGGUAUUGGUUUGUAUUGGAAUUGAAGUUCCAAGGUUGUUGUUACCCAUAAUUUACAACAGUUGCUACAAAACAGAUGAUUAAAACCUG